rnacentral:rRNA from 1 species
GUAACACGUGAAUUACAUGCCCUAUAGUGGGGAAUAGCCCAGGGAAACUUGGAUUAAUACCCCAUAGUCUCGCAAGAGUAAAGGUGGCCAGCAAUGGCUGUCGCUAUAGGAUUGGUUCGCGCCCUAUCAGCUUGUUGGUGAGGUAACGGCUCACCAAGGCAAUGACGGGUACCUGGUUGAGAGGACGAUCAGGCACACUGGAACUGAGACACAGUCCAGACACCUACGGGUGGCAGCAGUCGAGAAUAAUUCACAAUGGGGGCAACCCUGACGCAGCGACGCCGCGUGAGUGAUGAAGGCCUUCGGGUCGUAAAGCUCUGUCGUAUGGGAAUAACACAAUGAAUGUACCAUGCAAGAAAGGAUCGGCUAACUUCGUGCCAGCAGCCGCGGUAAGACGAGGGAUCCUAGCGUUGUUCGGAAUCAUUGGGCGUAAAGCGGGUGUAGGUGGGCUUCUAAGUCAGAUGUGAAAUCCCAGGGCUCAACCCUGGAAGUGCAUUUGAUACUGGAAGUCUUGAGUGUGGUAGAGGUUACUGGAAUUGUUGGUGUAGUGGUGAAAUACGUAGAUAUCAACAGGAAUACCGGAGGCGAAGGCGAGUAACUGGGCCAACACUGACACUGAGACCCGAAAGCGUGGGGAUCAAACAGGAUUAGAUACCCUGGUAGUCCACGCCAUAAACGAUGGAUACUUGUUGUUAGAGGUAUUGACCCCUCUAGUGACGUAGCUAACGCGUUAAGUAUCCCGCCUGGGGAGUACGGUCGCAAGAUUAAAACUCAAAGAAAUUGACGGGGGCCCGCACAAGCGGUGGACAUGUGGUUUAAUUCGAUGCAACGCGAAGAACUUACCUAGGCUU